CCUACGGGGGGCUGCAGUGGGGAAUAUUGCACAAUGGGGGAAACCCUGAUGCAGCAACGCCGCGUGAGUGAUGACGGUCUUCGGAUUGUAAAACUCUGUCUUCAAGGACGAUAAUGACGGUACUUGAGGAGGAAGCCACGGCUAACUACGUGCCAGCAGCCGCGGUAAUACGUAGGUGGCAAGCGUUGUCCGGAUUUACUGGGCGUAAAGGGAGCGUAGGUGGAUAUUUAAGUGGGAUGUGAAAUACUCGGGCUUAACCUGAGUGCUGCAUUCCAAACUGGAUAUCUAGAGUGCAGGAGAGGAAAGUAGAAUUCCUAGUGUAGCGGUGAAAUGCGUAGAGAUUAGGAAGAAUACCAGUGGCGAAGGCGACUUUCUGGACUGUAACUGACACUGAGGCUCGAAAGCGUGGGGAGCAAACAGGAUUAGAUACCCGUGUAGUC
rnacentral:rRNA from 1 species